rnacentral:misc_RNA from 1 species
GUAGCAUUGGAAAUUACUUCAGCAACACUCUUUCCAAUACAUAAUAGCUCAUUCAUCAAAGUUUUGGUUACAUCAGCUGAAGCAAAAAGAAAAAGAAUUUGUUAUAUGGUCCUAGUUCAAGUCUUCAGAAUGUCACAGGUUGCAAAACAACUCAAGUCUUCAGAUUCUCUGGUCAUGCAGCUUGUUAAACAUAUCAAGUUGUAACCAGAAGAUACAGAAGGCCCUUUAGAUACUCCACUAUUUCAG